rnacentral:rRNA from 1 species
UCUACGGGAGGCAGCAGUGGGGAAUAUUGCGCAAUGGGCGAAAGCCUGACGCAGCGACGCCGCGUGAGGGAUGAAGGUCUUCGGAUCGUAAACCUCUGUCAGCAGGGAAGAACGGUCACUGUGCUAAUCAGCAGUGAAUUGACGGUACCUGCAACGGAAGCACCGGCUAACUCCGUGCCAGCAGCCGCGGUAAUACGGAGGGUGCGAGCGUUAAUCGGAAUUACUGGGCGUAAAGCGCUCGUAGGCGGUAUGUCAAGUCAAGGGUGAAAUCCCCGCGCUCAACGUGGGAACUGCCUUUGAAACUGGCAAACUGGAGUGUGUGAGAGGAUAGUGGAAUUCCAGGUGUAGGAGUGAAAUCCGUAGAUAUCUGGAGGAAUAUCAGUGGCGAAGGCGACUAUCUGGCACAUAACUGACGCUGAGGAGCGAAAGCGUGGGUAGCAAACAGGAUUAGAUACCCGGGUAGUC